AGCGAACGCUGGCGGAAUGCUUAACACAUGCAAGUCGCACGGUCAGCAAUGGCAGUGGCGGACGGGUGAGUGACGCGUAGGAAUAUGUCCAGAGGUGGGGGACAACCCCGGGAAACUGGGGCUAAUACCGCAUAUGAGCUGAGGCUCAAAGCAGUGAUGCGCCUUUGGAGUAGCCUGCGUCCGAUUAGCUUGUUGGUGGGGUAAUGGCCUACCAAGGCGACGAUCGGUAGCUGGUCUGAGAGGACGACCAGCCACACUGGGACUGAGACACGGCCCAGACUCCUACGGGAGGCAGCAGUGGGGAAUAUUGGACAAUGGGCGCAAGCCUGAUCCAGCAAUUCCGCGUGGGUGAAGAA
rnacentral:rRNA from 1 species